rnacentral:lncRNA from 10 species
CUGGCCCAGUGCCUUGUGUAUGGGAACCACUUGCCAUAUUUUAGCUGAGUGAACAAAUCUAUAAAUGACAAGUACUGAGAUUCUUUAUGGAGUGCACAUUGACUAGUCAUGGUCAAGAUCUCCUUUUGGAUUCAGGUGACAGCAGGAAGAGCAUGGUCUAAUAAACAGAGAAGGCUCAGGAGGGUCAGAAACACGGUGCCUCAUUUCUCAGCCUACUUGCCAAGAAUUCCCAAAAAGGAAGCACUGGAGGAUCAUUCCAAGGCUUGAGGUCCAGGACUACCCACUUCCCUUGGAAUGGUGUUGCCAUCACUGUUCUGGCACCGGAGAAAGGAUUCUACAUCGUUAGGAGAAAAGAAAAAGGAGAAUUUGGGCUUGCACUGAGAGGAUUACCUUUGGUGGUCUGGAAGUGGUGAUUGGUGAUAAUGAAACCUACCUUGCUGUUUCAUGUUGAGGAAUCACUGUGAGAAGGGGUUGCAGCAUUGAAGGCACCAUCUUGGAAGCAGAGACUAGACCCUCACCAAGCAAUUAACAUGCUGGUGCAUUGAUCUUGGACUUUCCAGCCUCCAGAACUGUGAGAAAUAAAUUUCUGUUCUUAAUUAAUUACCCAGUCCCAGGUAUUCUGUUAUAGCAGCACAAAGCUUAGACGGGCUCCUUACAUCUUGAGGCUCCAUUAUCUCCUGGGAACUGGGAGUCCUUAGGUUCUAGCCAUGGAAAGAGAAACAAAAGAUGGAGAAGGCACACAUGCUUCUUAAUGGUCGUGGUUCAGAAGUAACAAAUACUAAUUCUAUAUAUUCUACUGGCUCAACACAAAUGCAGGGGUGUGCUGGGAAUGGAGUCUCUGAUUGGGCAGCAGGGAUCAGGGAUCAAAGAUCAGGAAAUAUUCCAGGGUGAAUAUUUUACUAGGUGAGGAGGACCAUGAAUUUUGACAAACAGCCUUUGCUGCUCUACCCACUCCUCAUCAUCACUGUUAGACACAAAGAGAAAUGGCAGCACUUUUUGUCCAUUGAUUGUAACUCUUUCUUUAAAGACUUUUAAGGCAGAAUCUCAAUUCAUCUCUUCUAUGAAACUUUCAUGAUUCAAAGGGAAGUCCCUGCAUGGACACUGCCAGCUUCAUUGCACUUCUGCCUCUAUGCUUUUUCCUGAACCUUCUCCACCUCUGGAACGUACUUCAGGCUGCACAGGGAGCAUGGCUGGGAGGCCUCAGGAAACUGACAAUCAUCAGUAGAAGAUGAAGAGGAAGGAGGCGCAUCUUACAUGGCCAGAGAAGGAGGAAGAAUAAGAAGGGGUUCCUUGACUUUGGCCUUCAGUCCUGACUUAAUUUCUUUGCUUAUGGGUAAAACAAGGAAUUCCUGUCACACUGCCAACAUCACCCCCUUUCUUCUCACCCCAAGGAGAGUGCAGAGAGGAGGCGAGACCAAGCCUGCCCAGAGUUGGAGUCUUGAGACGUGAGAUUCUCCAGCUGGAGCCCUAUAAAUUGGACUGACAAAAGACAGAUUAGCAAGAGAAAUGCAAGCAGCAGUUUAUUAACAUGUGCAUCAUGAUUACACAUGGAAGUACCCAGAGCAGGUCAUAAGACCUCAUGUGACAAGUGCCCUCCUUACUCCCAGAGAAAAGGAAGGAAGACACAGAAACACCACGAAGAAUAUGGACAAACAGACCUUGCUAAGUUCCCCCCCAUUUAUUACCAUGACAUCAUACUCCCUUUGUCCAAUCACACUUUCAUCAAACCUGAGCAUGAAAAUACACAGGUUUCUCUGUUUGGGGGGUGGGUCUUCAUUUUUGAAGUUUCCAUGUCAUGUAAAACUUAUAUUAAAGAAAUGUGUAUGUUUUACCCUUGUUAAUUU